rnacentral:rRNA from 1 species
CCUACGGGGCGCAGCAGUGGGGGAUAUUGCACAAUGGGGGGAACCCUGACGCAGCGACGCCGCGUGGGUGAAGGAGUAUUUCGGUAUGUAAAGCCCUAUCAGCAGGGAAGAAAAUGACGGUACCUGACUAAGAAGCCCCGGCUAACUACGUGCCAGCAGCCGCAGUAAUACGUAGGGGGCAAGCGUUAUCCGGAUUUACUGGGUGUAAAGGGAGCGUAGACGGCGGUGCAAGCCAGAUGUGAAAGCCCGGGGCUCAACCCCGGGACUGCAUUUGGAACUGUGCUGCUAGAGUGUCGGAGAGGCAG